rnacentral:rRNA from 1 species
AUAACUUUGUGAAACUACUCUAGGCGGUGGAUCACUCGGCUCGUGUGU